rnacentral:lncRNA from 1 species
UUGGUACGAGUGAGUAAUUGAUAGAAAUAAACUGAUAUUGAAAAGGAAAUAAGAAAGACCUCUUUUCUAACAACCAUAUUUGGGAAAGAUAUUUGGGAUUUGAAGACCAUGUUUUUUUUAGGUGUUUUAGUUUUUUUUAUUUAAUUUUCUCCCAAUCAAGGAGAUGCUGAUGUUAAACAAUUGAUACUUCUCUUAUAUUUUAAUUUGAUAGUAUUUUAUCCAUGCUCUUGUCUGAUUUUUCC